rnacentral:rRNA from 1 species
UGGGGAAUAUUGGACAAUGGGGGCAACCCUGAUCCAGCAAUGCCGCGUGUGUGAAGAAGGCCUGAGGGUUGUAAAGCACUUUCAGUGGGGAGGAGGGUUGAUAGGUUAAGAGCUAAUUAACUAGACGUUACCCACAGAAGAAGCACCGGCUAACUCCGUGCCAGCAGCCGCGGUAAUACGGAGGGUGCAAGCGUUAAUCGGAAUUACUGGGCGUAAAGAGUGCGUAGGUGGUAUGGUAAGUUAUCUGUGAAAUUCCUGGGCUUAACCUGGGACGGUCAGAUAAUACUGCUGUACUCGAGUAUGGGAGAGGGUAGUGGAAUUUCCGGUGUAGCGGUGAAAUGCGUAGAGAUCGGAAGGAACACCAGUGGCGAAGGCGGCUACCUGGCCUAAUACUGACACUGAGGCACGAAAGCGUGGGGAGCAAACAGG